CGCCGCACGCGUCCGCCGCCGCCGCCGCUGUCCCGGCCGCGUCCUCUCCACCCCCGCCCCGCCGCGCUCCGGGCAGCGUCCCGCGCGGGAGAGGUGGGCGGGCGGCGGAGCGGCGAGCCGGGGCGCGUGCGGCCUUCGAAGUUGAGGAGGAGUGCGGGCGCCCCUCCGCUGCCCCGCUUCAGCGCCGCGCGCACACACCGGCCCGCCAACAGCUCUCCGUCCUCGGGGGGAGCCGCGCCGCCGCCGCCGGCUUCCGAGGCGCAGACGCGAGAGGCGCGCUAAGCCUCUGGGCUCCGCCACAUAGCGAGCCGACAAUAAAGCCGGCGGAGCGUUUCCGUCCGACCAGGCCCUGGCGGAGGUCGAAUGGCAAAUGAACAACGGACCGUGCGCCCACAAUGCACCGGGGGUCUUUUAUUGGCCAGGAAUUUACGAAGUAGGGUGGACUGGCUGGCCAGUAAGCCCCAGGCUUUGCCUGCCUCUGCACAGGAAUUACAAGCAUACCCUAACAGGGCCUCGCCACCACACCUGUCUUUCUUGAUGUGAGCUCCGGGGAUCCACCUCACCUGGGAGGCUAAGACACGAGGUGCUGGAAGUUCAAGGCCAGCCUAGGCUACAGAGACUGUCUCAGAGACACUCCCACCCGGGAAAACCAACCAAGCAUCACUUACUAAGAGCCCUAAAGGGAAGUAUACAUAUAUCUCAAAAGCUGGUUCACUGAUUUACAAAGGACCACUGCAAUAUUUAAAACACAGGCUGCUUUUCCAAAGGAACAGACUUCGGUCCCCAGCUCCCACUGUGGGUGCCCCACAGCUGCCUGUAACCCCAGCUCCAGGGGAUCUGAUGGACCGCCUGCACUCAGGUGAGACCCAUUUAUGUGUAAAAAAAAGUUAAAUCUUAACAAAAUAUCUUCUUACAAAAACGGUGGUGUGAUUAGGUCCUACAGAAAGAAAGAGCCCUGACCGUACUGUGCCAAAUUUGUAAUCCCAGUGCUGGCAAGGGGAGGCUUCGAGGAUGAUCAGCAGUUCGGGGUCCGUCUCAACUAUGUGAACCAUGGCUACAUGAAACCCUGUUUAAAUAAUAAGUAAAUGUGGCUGUGGUGUCACUGGCUGGCUCUGGGAGGUUGGCUUUUCAAAUAAAAUUGUUUUCUGUA